GAGGUGGCCCUGUCCCAGCCUGGCUCUAACAGGAGGCUUUUACCUCUUCCCUGCAGGUGAUAGCAGUGUCUGACUGUCAGCCCCACCACGGUAAUCUCCACCAAAUGUUCUACAGAGAAGAGGAGGUGCGGGGUUUGGGCCGCCUGCGGGGCGGGCAGCAGGGACCCUGCACCACCAUGCACGUGGGAAUAACUGAACGAGAGUCAUCCAAGUCCUGUAAUCACCAGUCAGAUAGAAAAUCUUUGCCCCCAUCAUCGCUAGCCAUCCCCAUCGCAGCGAAGCCGGCGGCUCUCACAGGCUCCCCCACGGAUGACCACCCGCUCGCAGACGAGUGAGUCCCAGCCCCAUCCCCAGCCCCUGCCCCAGC
rnacentral:lncRNA from 1 species